AAUGACCUGCUUAGAGUUCUGCACCCCCCAGCAUGGAGAGCAGAGCGCAAAGAUUUCUUCCGGACUCCCACAUUCCCCUUGGAAUCCAAGAACUGGUCUACUGUCACAACACUUUAGUACCCUCUUCUCCCAAGGAGGCAGCAGAAACUGGGGUAAUCACAACGGUCAACAGCAGCAAAGGCAGCACUUUCUGAUUUACUUGACUGCUAUGGAUGCCACCUCUCUCCACGCCUCAGUUUAAUAUCUAGUUUCGCCAUGUUGCCCAGGCUGGUCUCGAACUCCUGAGCUCAAGCUAUUCACCUGC
rnacentral:lncRNA from 10 species